UUGUUUCCUUCUCUUAAAUAAAGCUCAGAUUGCUUCUUCUCCCAUGUCCGUCAACUUCACUUCACCGCUGAGGGUUUUUUAAGGGAUCAACUCGUUUUGAUUUUGUUUAAGAUAGGAGUAUUGGGGAGAGUGAAGAACAUUGAAGAGCAAGAUCUUGUUGAAGAGCAAGAUGCUCUCCAAGUUAGCCCCCCGAAAAGACCACUGGGAUCUUUUUAAUUUAUUAGAGAAUUGGUUGGAACGUUUGCGAUACAAGUUGGCAUCAAAUCUAGUGCUUUCAAAAGAAAACGAACAACGUUCCAAAAUAAUAGAAAAUGCUAGAAAUAUUCCGCUACAUGAUUAUUUUCAGACACUCAAAUGACAGUGAUUUGUAUAAAUUGAUGACUAAAUUUUUUGGAAAAUACUACAAUUUAGUGAAUUUUCUUUUUUAUUGAAAAAGAGAUUGAAUUUGUGUCAUUCAUGAAUCAUGAUUACAAAUGUAUGUGUUGUGCACACAUACAAUGUAGUUGACAAUUAGAUUUGUGAUGUUGCCCGUGUGAGGUUGGCUAGGAGUGCUCAAGUUUACUGAAAACAAUUUAGUGACAAGAGAUAAUUUCGACCAACUUCAACAGUCCCCUCCUUGACAAUUCUCAUGAUGUCAUGCCAUUGUGUCUUUUUUGUCUUGUGCUCGUUUGUGAGAAUUUAUUUGCAUUGAAUUAUUGAUUUGGAAAAAUAAGUUUAAGCAAAAAUAUAGUUCUACUUAGAAAAAGCAAAAGUUUUAAGUUGUACAUAACUAGAAAAGUUGAAAUUUUCAGGCAAGAGACUGUAGCACUCAAUUUAUAUAUGCUAGGCUGAUUUUACUAGUUAAAAAAAAAAUGGCUACUUGUAAUUACAUUUAGCACUUGUAACUCGUAAGUACAUCUUGUAGAGAAUACCAUUAUUUAACUUACAAAAAGGGUUUUUGCCUUACUCUCCCCUGACUAACAGAGAGUUUAUUUUAUUUUAUUUUGAGGAGGAAGCAUUGUUAAAGACAAUUAAACUGUACAAAGUGAGAAUUUUAAGAUAUGCUAAAGUGGUGGGUUUAGCAAUUUUGGGUAGAUACCCUGUAUGUGGGCUGAAUCCAUGUGGGUAGAUACCCCUGUAUGUACAUACUUUAGGUGGUUCAAAGCUUAAAUCAACUCUCUGUCAAAUUUUAGUAAUGCACAUGAGGAUAGAGCUUUCUUUGUCCAUUGCCACUUUUUUUACUCUGAAUCUGGGAUCUCUAAGUGGAUCUGUAAGAACAUCUCACAUUGCCAGCAUGUGUGGUUUGUUACAAUGUCAUGUUUUAGAAGGGGCUUCCAAUGUGUGACAAUACUAAUUUUAUGGCACUUGUGACUACUGAAGCUUCUGUAACUUAUAAUUUUGUAUCAAUUUCAUACAGAGCUCCAGUGCUGGAGAAAGCUUCUAAAUCAGUUUGGGAGCUAAUUUUGACAGUAAUGGUCUGGGGAAGGAAAUUAGUGAGAUGGUUGAAAAGAACUCAACCCUGCAGGCAUUGGUUGGAGAAAACUAUGGAGGAAACUUGCAUAUGUCAUUGAAGCAUUAAUGCUGCACUUAUUGUGUGAUUCUCUGCUUGAUUAACCUUGUUCCAGUGUCCAAGCAGUGCACUGUGCAAUUCAUGAGGGAUAAUUACCUUUAAACCACAAUGCAAAAUUUGGGGAGUGAAAACCAUAAAUUGGAGUCCUGUAUGAAAGUGUUAUGCUUGCGAGCCUAUGAGCCAGACAAGACAGUUCAAGCAUUGAGCUCGUUUUCGAAACAAGCUAUAUUAGGCCCAAGCUUCAGCUUCAUUAACUUCAUAACCGGGCCCAAUCCAGGCAUAACAGUUCCUGAGACAGAGAUGGGACCUCCCUGAUAAGAUUCUUACACCCAGAUCUUGGAAACAUUUACAAGGUUCGUCAUUAGGCUUAAUUUUCUGUUGGUGUUGAAGUGCAUGGCAGUUAAGUUAUUGGAAAUACUUGAUUGUAGUAACUUGUGAAUUGUCACUGCCUCUCCUGCUCCAAAUCUGCACCUUGUGUUGAAAUUUGAAAAUCGGUGUAUUUAAUACAUGAAAGUCCUGUCUGAACUUGGGAGCUCUUGUUCCAUUUGGUUUUGUUGGGUUUAAUAUUUUGUAUAGUAUUGCAUAGGUCGUAAACUAGAGGUGAAGUUAGUUACUCAUUAGUUUCCUCAUAUCCACUUGCUCUCCUUAAUUGGGUGAUUGCAGGCACUUCAAAAUUAUCAAAAAAAAAAAAAAAAAAAAAAAAAAGAAAAGAAAAGAGCAGGCACUUCGGAUUGUAGGAUUGCCAAUAGGGCCAAAAGGCUCUGCAGUAAAAAGGAUAAAUGUAGGUCUUUCCUUGCUCAAUUACUUGUAAAUAUAAUGGCAUGAUAUGAUUAUUGUUGUUAGAUUUUGAAAUCCCAUGAUGUAUAUUACUUGUAUUAGUUUGACUCAAGUGUUAUGAUGCAUGUAAAAAUUAGAUGUAUCGACAUAAUUUGACUAAGGGAUUCAGUUUUAAUUGUCUCAAAUUUUAACAUACUUUGACAUUUGUUCCAUUGUGGAAUGAAAUAGCAGGCGUCAUGUUGUUGAA